GACGAACGCUGGCGGCGUGCUUAACACAUGCAAGUCGAGCGAUGAAGCACCUUCGGGUGUGAAUUAGCGGCGAACGGGUGAGGAACACGUGAGAAAUCUGCCUUCAACACUGGGAUAACUCCGGGAAACCGGGGCUAAUACCGGAUAUGAAACCUGCGGGCAUCCGCGGGUUUGGAAAGUUUUUCGGUUGAAGAUGAUCUCGCGGCCUAUCAGCUUGUUGGUGAGGUAAUGGCUAACCAAGGCGACGACGGGUAGCCGGCCUGAGAGGGCGACCGGCCACACUGGGACUGAGACACGGCCCAGACUCCUACGGGAGGCAGCAGUGGGGAAUAUUGGGCAAUGGAGGAAACUCUGACUCAGCGACGCCGCGUGCGGGAUGAAGGCCUUCGGGUUGUAAACCGCUUUCAGCAGGGAAGAAGCGAAAGUGACGGUACCUGCAGAAGAAGCACCGGCUAACUAUGUGCCAGCCGCCGCAGUAA
rnacentral:rRNA from 1 species